AUUUUUCGAGUUUCAGUCCUUCUCACACACCUCACUAACACUAACUACAGAUUUCUAGAUGUUAGUAGGCGUUGUGGGAAGGGCGGAGAUGACGAAUACU
rnacentral:pre_miRNA from 18 species